UCCAUUGGCUCUUGUUUGUCCUCGGUGU
rnacentral:piRNA from 1 species